UCCGCACCUGCUCUUUGCUCAUUACUUUGAUCGCCACGCUCUCGCCCGUGCUUAUUUGCUUCCCGUAAUACACUUUGGCAAACGUCCCCUUACCGAGAAGCCUCCCCAUCUCGUACUUUCCGAACACCGUGUGACACUCUUCCAUUGAGUCACUCACUGAUAAUCACUCACAGACUCACUUUUUCUUCUUCCUUUUCAGGUGCUGUACGGUGGAUUGUGAAACCCCAUUUUUUUUUUUUUCUUUCAAGAGGAUUCUGAGAAAAAGUUUUGUUAAAAAAAUGUUUGGAGGAGAGAAGCACUUAUAAGAGAGUGAUGAUGGUUAAGUGGUUUGGUUUUA
rnacentral:lncRNA from 1 species